AUCAAUUUAUAAUAUUGAAUGUCAAAUUUUAAAUUUUAAAGGUAGAAGAGAGGUGUUGCAUGAAGAGAGAGUGCCUGCUCUGAUAGCCAAGGAUGACUUGCCUAAAACCAUUUUUAUGAAGGGUCUUAACUAAUUAGACUUUAGUUACUACAAUUAAAGUUUAUAUUAUAUGAUCCUAAAAUUUGGAUUUUAGGCGUUGUCUAAGGCUAAUCUGAGAGGCACUUAUCUUUCAUGUAACACCUUCAUUCUCUUCCAUAUAUAUACUAUAUGAGCUAAAGUCCACUCCACUAAGUUAACUGAUCAACAAGAGUCUGUUCUAGUUGUCAAUCAAGAGGAUGGAACACAAUGAAGUCGUCUCAGGUUCAAUUCUUAGCCUAAACACUAGGUUAUUUAAUAUUUUUUGAUCUAUUCUACACUUAGUGUACAGAGUUAUUGUUGGGGUGGAGCUGAUAAAAAUCUUAUGUAAUUAGUUGAGAUGCGUAAAAAUUAACUUGGAGGGCUAAAAUUAGAUAUAAAAAAUAGUUCCAACUUUCAAGGCUAGGCAACUCAUCAAGGCUACUAAGCAGGCUCUUUCAAGCAUAUGAAGCAGGUCUUGUGUGCCUCAUAAUUAUAAAAGAUAAUUUGUUUUGUGAUGA